rnacentral:rRNA from 1 species
CCUACGGGUGGCAGCAGUGAGGAAUAUUGGUCAAUGGGCGUAAGCCUGAACCAGCCAAGUCGCGUGAGGGAUGAAGGUUCUAUGGAUCGUAAACCUCUUUUAUCAGGGAAUAAAGUGUGGGACGUGUCCUAUUUUGUAUGUACCUUAUGAAUAAGGAUCGGCUAACUCCGUGCCAGCAGCCGCGUGAAUACGGAGGAUCCGAGCGUUAUCCGGAUUUAUUGGGUUUAAAGGGUGCGUAGGCGGCCUUUGAAGUCAGCGGUAAAAGCUCGGGUCUCAACCCCGGCGAGCCGUUGAAACUGGCUGUCUUGAGAUGGCGAGAGGUAUGCGGAAUGCGCAGUGUAGCGGUGAAAUGCUUAGAGAUCAUACAGAACACCGAUUGCGAAGGCAGCUUACCAAACUAUAUCUGACGUUGAGGCACGAAAGCGUGGGUAGCGAACAGGAUUAGAUACCCUAGUAGUC